GGCAGAGUGACCCAAUGGAUAGCACACUGGCUGGGACUCAGGAAACCUGGGUUCUAUUCCUAGCUCUGCCA
rnacentral:tRNA from 1 species